AGACCCGAAACCCGGUGAUCUAGCCAUGGGCAGGUUGAAGGUUGGGUAACACUAACUGGAGGACCGAACCGACUAAUGUUGAAAAAUUAGCGGAUGACCUGUGGCUGGGGGUGAAAGGCCAAUCAAACCGGGAGAUAGCUGGUUCUCCCCGAAAGCUAUUUAGGUAGCGCCUCGUGAAUUCAUCUCCGGGGGUAGAGCACUGUUUCGGCUAGGGGGCCAUCCCGGCUUACCAACCCGAUGCAAACUGCGAAUACCGGAGAAUGUUAUCACGGGAGACACACGGCGGGUGCUAACGUCCGUCGUGAAGAGGGAAACAACCCAGACCGCCAGCUAAGGUCCCAAAGUCAUGGUUAAGUGGGAAACGAUGUGGGAAGGCCCAGACAGCCAGGAUGUUGGCUUAGAAGCAGCCAUCAUUUAAAGAAAGCGUAAUAGCUCACUGGUCGAGUCGGCCUGCGCGGAAGAUGUAACGGGGCUAAACCAUGCACCGAAGCUGCGGCAGCGACACUAUGUGU
rnacentral:rRNA from 1 species